AUUAAUUUAAUGGCUGCAGUAUUUUAACUGUACAAAGGUAGCAUAAUAAUUAGUUCCUUAAUUAGGGACUGGAAUGAAGGAUUGAACGAGAUAAAAAUUGUCUCUUUUUAAAUUUUAUAAUUUUAUUUUUAAGUUAAAAAGCUUAAAUAUUAUUAAAAGACGAGAAGACCCUAUAGAGUUUUAUAAUUAUAAUAUAAAUAAAUUUUAGUAAUAAAAUUUUAUUUAUACAAUGAUUAUUUGGUUGGGGUGAUUUUAAAAUUUAAAAAACUUUAAUAUAAUUUACAUUAAUAUAUGAAUAAUUGAUCCAUAAUUUAUGAUUAAAAGAUUAAAUUACCUUAGGGAUAACAGCGUAAUUUUUUUAAAGAGUUCUAAUCGAAAAAAAAGAUUGCGACCUCGAUGUUGGAUUAAAAUAAAUUUUUGGUGUAGAAGCUGAAAUAUUAGGUCUGUUCGACCUUUAAAAUUUUACAUGAUCUGAGUUUAAAUCGGCGUGAGCCAGGUUGGUUUCUAUCUUUAAUUAAAUAAAAUAUUUUAGUACGAAAGGACCAUAUAUUUAUAAUGUUUAUUUAUUUAUGAUUAAUAUUA
rnacentral:rRNA from 2 species